rnacentral:tRNA from 1 species
UUUAAAUUUCUUUUAUUAUAA